CGCGCGCCCGACACGGCGGAGUGGCUCAGCAAAAAGCCAGCCGCGCGCACGCACCUCGCUCUCCGGAGCCUCUCAUCCCUCAUCACAAUCAAUCCGCCGCAGACCGACCGUAAUCCUAUUUGUUCAAAUAAAUAAUGAAAUAGCUGCAGCCCCACACGGAGGCACACGGAGGGUGGUAAUUGCUGCGUUUCAGGCUGGAUCAGAUGGGCUCUGUGGGAGGCUGGCAAGGCUCCACUGUGACCUUGUGUGUGUUUGUAAUUUUCCACAAGCUUAGUGGAUAUCCAGCGAGCGGGGGCCCUCGGUGGGUGCACGGGAAUCCGAGCACUUAGGGAGCGAGCCAAGGCCAUCUGAGCGAACGGCUGUGUGAGACGGAGCCUUCCUCGCCGCCGAAGAAAGAAAGAACCCAGCACGCCCACGGAGAGGGAAAGAUGACAUGACGACUAUUAGGCUGCAGACAAAUCAUUACAGCGGGAACUCACGGGCGACGCGGCGCUGGCAGGUGCAGAUCUCAGGAGGUGGUUCUGGAGCGUCGAUGAAUACUGCUCCUGGCCCUGAGUGACCUCCGCCCUCAUCCCAGCGAAGGAAUCAAUUGUGUCUGCGGUCCUCCUGCACUGGCUGCUGGAAUGAAAAACACAAUGGCAACAAUAACAGUCAAUACCACAAACAAGGCCUGUUCAGAGCUGAAUGGACUUAUUUAUUUGUGUUGCCAGCAAAUAUUUGUCUAAAUGGAUGGGACAGCAGUUGGCCAAUGAAUAUGUCGGAGCCUAAUAAAGUGGAGUGAGGUUGCUGAUGGAAA